rnacentral:misc_RNA from 1 species
GUGGUGCAAUAAGACUUACAAUUGUAUAGGGACAGAGACAUGGAGAAUUCAACAUCCACUCCAAAUUUUGCAUACAAGUAAUUGGCAACAACCUAUUUUUCAGCCUUUUAAUUCCUCAAUUUCCCACAGUCUGACUUGUAGACACAUCCACCGCAAUGGAAUAAAGACAUUUGCUACAAGAAGGAGAAGAUCAAACAUAGAAAC